rnacentral:rRNA from 1 species
GUGCCAGCCGCCGCGGUAACACCGGCAGCCCAAGUGGUGGCCGCUUUUAUUGGGCCUAAAGCGUCCGUAGCCGGCCAGGUAAGUCCCUGUGUAAAUCUUCAGGCUUAACUUGAAGAAUUGCGGGGAUACUGCUUGGCUUGGGGCCGGAAGGCGUGGAGGGUACUCCGGGGGUAGCGGUGAAAUGCUGUAAUCCUCGGGGGACCACCAGUGGCGAAGGCUCUCCACGAGGACGGGCCCGACGGUGAGGGACGAAAGCCAGGGGCGCGAACGGGAUUAGAUACCCGUGUAGUCCUAGCAGUAAACACUGUACACUAAACAUUGGGACCUCUUCGAGAGGUUUCAGUGCUGCAGGGAAGCCGAAGAGUGUACUACCUGGGAAGUAUAGCCGCAAGGCCGAAACUUAAAUGAAUUGGCGG